AUGGAGGAGCAAGAGGGUGAGAUCGUGUUCAUGGGAAAAGCGGGUGUCUUGGAGGAGGAGGUGGGGCUGUGGGGAGGGGAGAUGGAAAGGAGCUCCGGCCGGAUGGUGGAUCUGCACUGGACCAUGUAUCCCCGGCGAGCUGCACUGGCACGACAACCAAGUACAGCAGCCGGAGGCCAACGACACAGGUGUGGCGAGGCGGUUCAGAGAAAGAGCAGAAUAGGAGGAUCCGAGGUCGGGAGGUUCGCCGGAUGCCAACGAGCAACAAUCCAGGGAGGGGAAGAAGUAAUCCACAAAUGGAAGGGGGAUUUGGGGCACCAUGGAUCCAGGGUGGAGGAGGUGGGCGUUGCGCCAUGUGCUCUUUUGGAUCUGGAGCGGAGAAGGUUAGGACGUGUGGCGGCGUUGCGGCGGCCGGAUGGAUCUCGCGACGACGGCGACGCGUCACAGGAGGACGCAGCUGGCCGGAUCCGAAGGCAGGGGGCGCGUCACAGGAGAGCAGCGCCGGAGCUAGAGCUGGAGGUGGUGGAUCUCGGGUGGCAGAUUGGGAGGUGGGAAGGGGGCUGCUCGGGGCAGCGCAUAGGGUAG
rnacentral:rRNA from 1 species